rnacentral:rRNA from 1 species
CCUACGGGGGGCAGCAGUCGAGAAUCAUUCACAAUGGGGGAAACCCUGAUGGUGCGACGCCGCGUGGGGGAAUGAAGGUCUUCGGAUUGUAAACUCCUGUCAUGCGGGAGCAAAUUAAAAAGAUAGUACCACAAGAGGAAGAGACGGCUAACUCUGUGCCAGCAGCCGCGGUAAUACAGAGGUCUCAAGCGUGGUUCGGAAUCACUGGGCGUAAGGCGUGCGUAGGCUGUUUCGUAAGUCGUGUGUGAAAGGCGCGGGCUCAACCCGCGGACGGCGCAUGGAACUGCGAGACUAGAGUGAGCGGGGGGGAAGCGGAAUUCUCGGUGUAGCAGUGAAAUGCGUAGAUAUCGAGAGGAACACUCGUGGCGAAGGCGGGUUCCGGGACAUUAACUGACGCUGAGGCACGAAGGCCAGGGGAGCGAAAGGGAUUAGAUACCCCGGUAGUC